UACGUAGGGGACGAGCGUUGUCCGGAAUUACUGGGCGUAAAGGGCGCGCAGGCUGCGCGUCGAGUCGGCUGUCAAAGAUCCGGGCUUAACCCGGUGAAGCGGUCGAGACCGACGAGCUGGAGUGCUGCAGAGGCAAGUGGAAUUCCCGGUGUAGCGGUGAAAUGCGUAGAUAUCGGGAAGAACACCGGUGGCGAAGGCGACUUGCUGGGCAGCAACUGACGCUGAGGCGCGAAAGCCAGGGGAGCGAACGGG
rnacentral:rRNA from 1 species